rnacentral:rRNA from 1 species
GAUGAACGCUGGCGGCGUGCCUAAUACAUGCAAGUCGAGCGAACGGACGAGAAGCUUGCUUCUCUGAUGUUAGCGGCGGACGGGUGAGUAACACGUGGAUAACCUACCUAUAAGACUGGGAUAACUUCGGGAAACCGGAGCUAAUACCGGAUGAUAUUUUGAACCGCAUGGUUCAAAAGUGAAAGACGGUCUUGCUGUCACUUAUAGAUGGAUCCGCGCUGCAUUAGCUAGUUGGUAAGGUAACGGCUUACCAAGGCAACGAUGCAUAGCCGACCUGAGAGGGGGAUCGGCCACACGGGAACUGAGACGCGGUCCAGACUCCUACGGGAGGCAGCAGUAGGGAAUCUUCCACAAUGGGCGAAAGCCUGACGGAGCAACGCCGCGUGAGUGAUGGAGGUCUUCGGAUCGUAAAACUCUGUUAUUAGGGAAGAACAGAUGUGUAAGUAACUGUGCACAUCUUGACGGUACCUAAUCAGAAAGCCACGGAUAACUACGUG